UACGUAGGCCCCGAGCGUUAUCCGGAAUUACUGGGCGUAAAGGGUUCGUAGGCGGACUUGAAAGUCGCGCAUAAAAGGCUGGAGCUUAACUCCAUGCACGUGGGCGAUACUACAAGUCUAGAAUGAGGGAGAGGCAAGCGGAACGGUAUGAGUAGGGGUGCAAUCCGUUGAUACAUACCAGAACACCAAAAGCGAAGGCAGCUUGCUGGAACUCUAUUGACGCUGAGGAACGAAAGCGUGGGGAGCGAAAAGG
rnacentral:rRNA from 1 species